AGACGGGUGAGGAACACGUACGCAACCUCCCUCAAACCGGGGCACAACCUUGAGAAAUCAGGGCUAAUUCCCCAUAACAUUGCGAAAGGGCAUCCGAUUGCAAUUAAAGAUUUAUCAGUUUGAGAUGGGCGUGCGUCUGAUUAGGUAGUUGGUGAGGUAACGGCUCACCAAGCCGACGAUCAGUAGCUGGUGUGAGAGCACGACCAGCCACACGGGCACUGAGAUACGGGCCCGACUCCUACGGGAGGCAGCAGUAAGGAAUAUCGGUCAAUGGGCGAAAGCCUGAACCAGCCAUGCCGCGUGAAGGAUGAAGGCCCUCUGGGUUGUAAACUUCUUUUAUCUGUGAAUAAACGUUCCGUUUCUACGGAAUUUGAAGGUAAUAGAUGAAUAAGCACCGGCUAACUCCGUGCCAGCAGCCGCGGUAAUACGGAGGGUGCAAGCGUUAUCCGGAUUUACUGGGUUUAAAGGGUGCGUAGGUGGGUUGGGUAGUCAGUGGUGAAAUACUUUCGCUUAACGAAGGAACUGCCAUUGAUACUCUCAAUCUUGAAUACAGUGGAGGUGGGCGGAAUGCGUCAUGUAGUGGUGAAAUACUUAGAUAUGACGCAGAACACCUAUUGCGAAGGCAGCUCGCUACACUGUGAUUGACACU
rnacentral:rRNA from 1 species